CCCCUAGAUGUUCUGGGCCGCACGCGCGCUACACUGAACAGUUCAACAAGUCUUAACCUUGGCCGAUAGGUCUGGGUAAUCUUUGAACGCUGUUCGUGAUUGGGAUAGACCUUUGCAAUUAUGGGUCUUCAACGAGGAAUUCCUAGUAAACGCAAGUCAUCAGCUUGCAUUGAUUACGUCCCUGCCCUUUGUACACACCGCCCGUCGCACCUACCGAUUGAAUGGUCCGGUGAAAUCUCGGGACGGCGGCUUGGUCGCUUGCGUCCGACUGCAGAAACUUGAUUAAACCAUAUCAUUUAGAGGAAGGUGAAGUCGUAACA
rnacentral:rRNA from 1 species